AAUAAACGUUGGCGGUGCGCCUUAUGCAUGCAAGUCGAACGGGGUUACAGCCUUCGGAUUGUAACCUAGUGGCGGACGGCUGAGUAACGCGUAAGUAACCUGCCUUAGAGUGGGAAAUAACCUGCCGAAAGGCAAGCUAAUGUCCCAUGUGGUAACGAAGCAAAUGCUUUGUUAUUAAAGCCUUAGGGUGCUCGAAGAGGGACUUGCGUCUGAUUAGCUAGUUGGUAGGGUAAUGGCCUACCAAGGCGAUGAUCGGUAGCUGGUCUGAGAGGAUGGUCAGCCAGAUGGGGACUGAGACACGGCCCCAACUCCUACGGGAGGCAGCAGCAAGGAAUCUUGGGCAAUGAGCGAAAGCUUGACCCAGCGACACCGCGUGAGGGAUGAAGGCCUUCGGGUUGUAAACCUCUUUUCUUGGGGAAGAAUUCUGACGGUACCC
rnacentral:rRNA from 1 species